GGCGAACGGGUGAGUAACACGUGGGCAAUCUGCCCUGCACUCUGGGACAAGCCCUGGAAACGGGGUCUAAUACCGGAUACUGACCCUCACGGGCAUCUGUGAGGUUCGAAAGCUCCGGCGGUGCAGGAUGAGCCCGCGGCCUAUCAGCUUGUUGGUGAGGUAAUGGCUCACCAAGGCGACGACGGGUAGCCGGCCUGAGAGGGCGACCGGCCACACUGGGACUGAGACACGGCCCAGACUCCUACGGGAGGCAGCAGUGGGGAAUAUUGCACAAUGGGCGAAAGCCUGAUGCAGCGACGCCGCGUGAGGGAUGACGGCCUUCGGGUUGUAAACCUCUUUCAGCAGGGAAGAAGCGAAAGUGACGGUACCUGCAGAAGAAGCGCCGGCUAACUACGUGCCAGCAGCCGCGGUAAUACGUAGGGCGCGAGCGUUGUCCGGAAUUAUUGGGCGUAAAGAGCUCGUAGGCGGCUUGUCACGUCGGUUGUGAAAGCCCGGGGCUUAACCCCGGGUCUGCAGUCGAUACGGGCAGGCUAGAGUUCGGUAGGGGAGAUCGGAAUUCCUGGUGUAGCGGUGAAAUGCGCAGAUAUCAGGAGGAACACCGGUGGCGAAGGCGGAUCUCUGGGCCGAUACUGACGCUGAGGAGCGAAAGCGUGGGGAGCGAACAGGAUUAGAUACCCUGGUAGUCCAC
rnacentral:rRNA from 1 species